rnacentral:rRNA from 1 species
AUUGAACGCUGGCGGCAGGCUUAACACAUGCAAGUCGAACGAGUGGCGGACGGGUGAGUAAUGUCUGGGAAACUGCCCGAUGGAGGGGGAUAACUACUGGAAACGGUAGCUAAUACCGCAUACCAUCAGAUGUGCCCAGAUGGGAUUAGCUAGUAGGUGGGGUAACGGCUCACCUAGGCGACGAUCCCUAGCUGGUCUGAGAGGAUGACCAGCCACACUGAAACUGAGACACGGUCCAGACUCCUACGGGAGGCAGAAGUGGGGAAUAUUGCACAAUGGGCGAAAGCCUGAUGCGGCCAUGCCGCGUGUAUGAAGAAGGCCUUCGGGUUGUAAAGUACUUUCAGCGGGGAGGCGUUACUCGCAGAAGAAGCACCGGCUAACUCCGUGCCAGCAGCCGCGGUAAUAC